rnacentral:rRNA from 1 species
CAGCCGCCGCGGGAAUACGAAGGGUGCAAGCGUUACUCGGAAUUACUGGGCGUAAAGGGUGCGUAGGCGGUUGUUUAAGUCUGUUGUGAAAUCCCCGGGCUCAACCUGGGAAUGGCAAUGGAAACUGGACGGCUAGAGUGUGGUAGAGGAUAGUGGAAUUUCCGGUGUAGCAGUGAAAUGCGUAGAGAUCGGAAGGAACAUCUGUGGCGAAGGCGACUAUCUGGGCCAACACUGACACUGAGGCACGAAAGCGUGGGGAGCAAACAGGAUUAGAUACCCGGGUAGUCCCUGUCUCUUAUAC